rnacentral:rRNA from 1 species
UACGAAGGGGGCUAGCGUUGCUCGGAAUCACUGGGCGUAAAGCGCACGUAGGCGGCUUUCUAAGUCAGGGGUGAAAUCCUGGAGCUCAACUCCAGAACUGCCUUUGAUACUGGGAGCUCGAGUCCGGAAGAGGUGAGUGGAACUGCGAGUGUAGAGGUGAAAUUCGUAGAUAUUCGCAAGAACACCAGUGGCGAAGGCGGCUCACUGGUCCGGUACUGACGCUGAGGUGCGAAAGCGUGGGGAGCAAACAGGG